UACAGAGGGUGCUAACGUUGUUCGGAAUCACUGGGCGUAAAGCGCACGUAGGCGGCUUGGUAAGUGCGGUGUGAAAGCCCCCGGCCUAACCGGGGAACUGCAUCGCAGACUGCCAGGCUCGAGAGCGGGAGGGGAGACUGGAACUCCUGGUGGAGCGGUGAAAUGCGUAGAUAUCAGGAGGAACACCGGUGGUGAAAACGAGUCUCUGGUCCGCUUCUGACGCUCAGGUGCGAAAGCUAGGGGAGCAAACGGG
rnacentral:rRNA from 1 species